UACGAAGGGGGCUAGCGUUGCUCGGAAUCACUGGGCGUAAAGCGCACGUAGGCGGACUCUUAAGUCAGGGGUGAAAUCCUGGAGCUCAACUCCAGAACUGCCUUUGAUACUGGGAGUCUUGAGUUCGGGAGAGGUGAGUGGAACUGCGAGUGUAGAGGUGAAAUUCGUAGAUAUUCGCAAGAACACCAGUGGCGAAGGCGGCUCACUGGCCCGAUACCGACGCUGAGGUGCGAAAGCGUGGGGAGCAAACAGG
rnacentral:rRNA from 1 species